rnacentral:tRNA from 1 species
GGGGAUUUAGCUCAGUGGCAAAGCACCUGGCUGGCAAGUAUGAGGUCAUGAGUUCAAUCCCCAGUCCCCA